rnacentral:rRNA from 1 species
GGGAGGUAGUGACAAUAAAUAACAAUACGGGGCUCAUUUGGGUCUCGUAAUUGGAAUGAGUACAAUUUAAAUCUCUUAACGAGGAACAAUUGGAGGGCAAGUCUGGUGCCAGCGGCCGCAGUAAUUCCAGCUCCAAUAACGUAUAUUAAAGUUGUUGCAGUUAAAAAGCUCGUAGUUGAACUUCAAGGUUUACUCAUUGGUCAGGCUUAAUUGUCUGUACUGGUAAGAUGAAUCUCUACCUUCUGAGGAACUUUCAUGCCAUUUAUUUGGUGUGGGAGGAAAUCAGGACUGUUACUUUGAAAAAAUUAGAGUGUUUAAAGCAGGCUAACGUCUGAAUACAUUAGCAUGGAAUAAUGAAAUAGGACAGACUGAUUCUAUUUUGUUGGUUUCUAGGAUCACCGUAAUGAUUAAUAGGGAUAGUUGGG